CGACUCCAUGAAGCUGGAUUCGCUAGUAAUCGCGCAUCAGCCACGGCGCGGUGAAUACGUUCCCGGGCCUUGUACACACCGCCCGUCAAGCCAUGGAAGCCGGGGGUGCCUGAAGUGCGCUGCCGCGAGGAGCGCCCUAGGGUAAAACCGGUGACUGGGGCUAAGUCGUAACAAGGUACC
rnacentral:rRNA from 1 species